CAGCCAAGCUGCCGCGUGACCUGCAGUGCGCGUCGGUGCAGACGUUCGGGAUGCAGCAGUGCCAGCGCGCCUACGGGGGCGCCGUCACCCCAAACAUGUUCUGUGCGGGGGUACCGCAGGGGGGCGUGGACUCGUGUCAGGUGAGUGCAGGUGUGAACAGGUGUGAACAGGUGUGAACAGGUGUGUACAGGGGCGCCGUCACCCCAAACAUGUUCUGUGCAGGUGUGCCCCAGGGGGGCGUGGACUCGUGUCAGGUGAGCGUUACCUGUGACAGGUGUGAACAGGUGUGUACAGGUGUGAUCAGGUGUGAACAGGUGUGUACAGGUGUGAACAGGUGUGUACGGGGGCGCCGUCACCCCAAACAUGUUCUGUGCGGGGGUGCCCCAGGGGGGCGUGGACUCGUGUCAGGUGAGUGCAGGUGUGAACAGGUGUGAACAGGUGUGUACAGGUGUGAACAGGUGUGAACAGGUGUGUACAGGUGUGAACAGGUGUGAACAGGUGUGAACAGGUGUGAACAGGUGUGUACAGGGGGCGCCGUCACCCCAAACAUGUUCUGUGCGGGGGUGCCCCAGGGGGGCGUGGACUCGUGUCAGGUGAGUGCAGGUGUGAACAGGUGUGUACGGGGGCGCCGUCACCCCAAACAUGUUCUGUGCGGGGGUGCCCCAGGGGGGCGUGGACUCGUGUCAGGUGAGUGUUACCUGUGCCCAGGUGUGAACAGGUGUGAACAGGUGUGUACAGGUGUGAACAGGUGUGCCCAGGUGUGAACAUGUUCUGUGCGGGGGUACCGCAAGGGGGCGUGGACUCGUGCCAGGUGAGUGUUACCUGUGAACAGGUGUGUACAGGUGUGUGCAGGUGUGAA